rnacentral:rRNA from 1 species
UACGGGGGGAGCAAGCGUUGUUCGGAUUUACUGGGCGUAAAGGGCGCGUAGGCGGCGCAACAAGUCACUUGUGAAAUCUCCGGGCUUAACCCGGAGCGGCCAAGUGAUACUGUCGUGCUAGAGUGCGGAAGGGGCUACUGGAAUUCUCGGUGUAGCGGUGAAAUGCGUAGAUAUCGAGAGGAACACCUGUGGCGAAGGCGGGUAGCUGGGCCGACACUGACGCUGAGGCGCGAAAGCCAGGGGAGCGAACGGG